rnacentral:rRNA from 1 species
AUUGAACGCUGGCGGCAGGCCUAACACAUGCAAGUCGAGCGAGCGGCGGACGGGUGAGUAAUGUAUGGGGAUCUGCCUGAUGGAGGGGGAUAACUACUGGAAACGGUAGCUAAUACCGCAUACCAUCAGAUGUGCCCAUAUGGGAUUAGCUAGUAGGUGGGGUAAUGGCUCACCUAGGCGACGAUCCCUAGCUGGUCUGAGAGGAUGAUCAGCCACACUGGAACGGAGACACGGUCCAGACUCCUACGGGAGGCAGCAGGGGGUAAUAUUGCACAAUGGGCGCAAGCAUGAUGCAGCAAUGCCGCGUGUAGGAAGAAGGCCUUCGGGUUGUAAAGCACUUUCAGUGAGGAGGCGUUACUCGCAGAAGAAGCACCGGCUAACUCCGUGCCAGCAGCCGAGGUAAUAC